AUGAAGCUGGAAUCGCUAGUAAUCGCGAAUCAGAAUGUCGCGGUGAAUACGUUCCCGGGUCUUGUACACACCGCCCGUCACACCAUGGGAGUCGGAAAUGCCCGAAGUCAGUGACCUAACCGAAAGGGAGGAGCUGCCGAAGGUGGAGCCGGUAACUGGGGUGAAGUCGUAACAAGGUAGC
rnacentral:rRNA from 1 species